UGGGGAAUUUUGGACAAUGGGCGAAAGCCUGAUCCAGCAAUGCCGCGUGUGUGAAGAAGGCCUUCGGGUUGUAAAGCACUUUUGUCCGGAAAGAAAUCCUUGGCUCUAAUACAGUCGGGGGAUGACGGUACCGGAAGAAUAAGCACCGGCUAACUACGUGCCAGCAGCCGCGGUAAUACGUAGGGUGCAAGCGUUAAUCGGAAUUACUGGGCGUAAAGCGUGCGCAGGCGGUUUGCUAAGACCGAUGUGAAAUCCCCGGGCUCAACCUGGGAACUGCAUUGGUGACUGGCAGGCUAGAGUAUGGCAGAGGGGGGUAGAAUUCCACGUGUAGGCAGUGAAAUGCGUAGAGAUGUGGAGGAAUACCGAUGGCGAAGGCAGCCCCCUGGGCCAAUACUGACGCUCAUGCACGAAAGCGUGGGGGAGCAAACAGGAUUAGAUACCCUGGUAGUCCACGCCCUAAACGAUGUCAACUAGUUGUUGGGGACUUCAAUUUCCUUAGUAACGUAGCUAACGCGUGAAG
rnacentral:rRNA from 1 species